rnacentral:rRNA from 1 species
UAGCGCGGUGGUCCCACCUGCCCCCAUGCCGAACUCAGAAGUGAAACGCCGUAGCGCCGAUGGUAGUGUGGGGUCUCCCCAUGUGAGAGUAGGGAACUGCCAGGC